GAUGGAUGUUUCUGAAAGACCUCUGACGGAGCUGCCAGUGAAGUUACAAAGGGACAGACAGUCAGGAGAUGUCAUUUUCUGUUGUCGUAAAGAGAAGCGCUCUUCAUGAGGCAGUCUAUUGCAUCCGCAGAGACUCCAGCGGCUUUCUUUCACAACCAAGGACUCGGAUCUCAGGAGACGUUUAAAGGCAAAAAGCUGAACGGAGGAUUUAAAAAGAGAGUGUGAUGAGUCUGAGCUACAGAUGGACAUCAAGGACACACACAUGCGGACAAGGACGAUGCAGCAUUCAGUGAAUGUGUCUUCAGAGGAUCGUACAGAGAGUGUAGAGGUUUCUCGAGGAUGUUAUCAAACACUCACACAGGAUGAGAGGUGCUCUGGGUUCAGGAGACGGCAGACAGAAGCUGACCAAACAUCUCUGGGUCGGAGAGGUUCAGACGAGAAGCACUUCCACAGAAAGUUAAAGGACGUGUCGGGGUUUUCAGAAUAAACAGAUGUGGAGGAUUUGCUGCUCUUUCCACAAUAUUUUGCCAGUGUAAUUGGAUUAGAGAUGCAGAUUUUGAUAAAACAAAAAUGUUACAUCUUAGAGGCUGUUAGACAUCUUAAGGCAAGACAGCACCGUUAGAAAGUAAUAGAUAUCACCAUAAUUCUGUAGUUAAUUAAUCACAGUAAGACUUUAAAGCUUUUAGAAAUGUUAUUUCUAAAUAUGCAAAUAAGGCAUUAUCUAAUUAUAAGUGCACUAUUUAAAAAAAAAAAAAAAAAAUUCAUUUCUGGAAAUCUGCACAUUGGAUAAAGCCAGGUUCAAAAUGUGCAUUAUUUUAUUGACAUUUUAAAGGUCUUUACACAGGGGGUUUCUUUUCAU